GCAGCGGUUGCACGUCUGGCGCUGCGUCGGCGGAAGCUGCGAGCCUGGCGGCCGCUGAGCAACUCUGACAGGGCAGCCGCAGGCCAGGAGGGAGCCCCUGACGGGUGGAGGCCGCGCUGCCGGAGCUCUCGCGCCUGAGCCCCACUGUCCGUCCUUGACAGGCAGUCUCAUCGUGAGCGGCACGGGCGUGGCGGGGACAGGGCCAGGGCCUGGGAAAGGCCUUGGCGGACGUCAGCUCUGCAAACACCCGUGAGGGGGCCGUCUGGGCCCUCUCACUGGGCUGAGGAAGGCCCUGCUGGUCCAGGCUGACAACUUCACGCUGUUCAUCAAAAACCCUGUCACCUUCAGCAAGUUCGACUUCUCCAGGACUGGCUGAGCCCAGGAAACUGGAUGGAGGGGACUUGUGGAUGCGUAGCAUGACAAUGCUGGUGGCCACUAUGGUGCUAUUCAGCAGUGCACUGAUGGACAUGAACUGGA